rnacentral:rRNA from 1 species
UACGAAGGGGGCAAGCGUUGUCCGGAUUUAUUGGGCGUAAAGAGCGUGUAGGCGGUUUGGUAGGUCCGCUGUGAAAACUCGAGGCUCAACUUCGAGACGCCGGUGGAAACCAUCAGACUAGAGUCCGGAAGAGGAGAGUGGAAUUCCUGGUGUAGCGGUGAAAUGCGCAGAUAUCAGGAAGAACACCCGUGGCUAAGGCGGCUCUCUAGUACGGUACUGACGCUGAGACGCGAAAGCGUGGGGAGCGAACAGG